AUGAGCUCGAACGAGGGUCAGCCGAGUGGGAGCUCGGUAUUCCGGGAGCUGAAGUUCAGCAAGAAAGCCCGGCUGACGACCCUCCUGUCGCUGAAACCAGGAUUCCUGCGCUCCAAGUCGGCAUCGUCCGCCGCCAAGCCGAUCCCAGAGGAGGAAGCCCACGACGUCCCUUGGGACCCGGAGGACGACGACUUGGAACUGAAGGACUCGCUGAGCAAGACCCGCUCCGAGGAGAGCCUCUCGACAGGUAUGGUCUCCUGCCAGUCGCUGCCGGUCGGCAUAGAGGGGGCCCUCGCUGCAGCCGGAGGUGGAGCCGCGGGUUCAGCCCCGGGCGGUUCGUCCAAGAGCAUGACGAUGCCGCGGGGCGGGGGGCAGGCCGGGGGCGGUCCCGAGGGGCGGAGACGCCUCGGGAUGAGGCGUGGCUCCAGCAUGACCGACAUCGAUCGACUGGCCGCCCAGCCCAAGCUCCUGGCCGCCGGGUUCCCGACGUCGCCGGUCAGCGAGUCCGGCUCCUCCAGUCCGGCCGUUCUGGAUAAACGACGCUCGGCCAAUGCGCUAUCUGGUGGUGGUACGACGGACAGCAUCGGGGACCUGAUGAACAUGAAGAAGUACUACGGGGACGGGGGCUCGACGGAGACUAUGAUCGCGCGGACGGUGCCGCUGUCCAUGGUCUUCAUCCGCUCGCAGCAGGGGCAGGGGGCGGGGCAGGGCUCCCCGGGGGCGGAGCCCCAGCCGGGAGCAGCCCCGAGGAGGAGGAGUCGCCCCUGGAGCAGUGGCGACCCGAGAGAGAGCGCGCGCGCGACGUCAGCGACGCCCCGCGGCCGGAAGUCAAAGCGAAAGCGAAACCGGAACCGGAAACCCUCCCGGGACCGGAACAGCUGAGCAGCGUCCAGCGGACCGAGCGCCUCUCCCGGCUCAUCAAGCAGCAGCGCAACUCCGAGAAGACGCUCCAGUAUCCGCCUCUCGUCGUGAGUCUUUCUUUAAUUGGAUGUAUUUUUACUCAAUAAGGGAUUGUUCAUCAAUCACUAGGGUGUCUAGCAUCAGUAAAAAUCGG
rnacentral:lncRNA from 1 species